rnacentral:rRNA from 1 species
AUUGAACGCUGGCGGCAUGCCUUACACAUGCAAGUCGAACGGCAGCACGGGAGCAAUCCUGGUGGCGAGUGGCGAACGGGUGAGUAAUGUAUCGGAACGUGCCCAGUCGUGGGGGAUAACGCAGCGAAAGCUGUGCUAAUACCGCAUACGAUCUAUGGAUGAAAGCGGGGGAUCGCAAGACCUCGCGCGAUUGGAGCGGCCGAUAUCAGAUUAGGUAGUUGGUGGGGUAAAGGCCCACCAAGCCGACGAUCUGUAGCUGGUCUGAGAGGACGACCAGCCACACUGGAACUGAGACACGGUCCAGACUCCUACGGGAGGCAGCAGUGGGGAAUUUUGGACAAUGGGCGCAAGCCUGAUCCAGCAAUGCCGCGUGCAGGAUGAAGGCCUUCGGGUUGUAAACUGCUUUUGUACGGAACGAAACGGUUCUCUCUAAUACAGGGGGCUAAUGACGGUACCGUAAGAAUAAGCACCGGCUAACUACGUGCCAGCAGCCGCAGUAA